rnacentral:rRNA from 1 species
CGUGUAGGUGGUUUUGUAAGUCGAAUGUGGAAUCUCACGGCUCAACCGUGAAAUUGCGUUCGAAACUAGAUAACUUGAGUUAGGGAGAGGUGUACGGAAUUCCUGGUGUAGCGGUGGAAUGCGUAGAUAUCAGGAAGAACACCAAUGGCGAAGGCAGUACACUGGCCUGUAACUGACACUGAGGCGCGAAAGCGUGGGGAGCAAACAGGAUUAGAUACCCUGGUAGUCC